rnacentral:tRNA from 1 species
GCGCGUGUAGCUCAGGGGAUAGAGCGCAGCCGUCCUAAGGCUGGCGUCGGGGGUUCGAAUCCCUCCACGCGCACCG